GCGAACAGACGAGGAGCUUGCUCCUCUGACGUUAGCGGCGGACGGGUGAGUAACACGUGGAUAACCUACCUAUAAGACUGGGAUAACUUCGGGAAACCGGAGCUAAUACCGGAUAAUAUAUUGAACCGUAUGGUUCAAUAGUGAAAGACGGUUUUGCUGUCACUUAUAGAUGGAUCCGCGCCGCAUUAGCUAGUUGGUAAGGUAACGGCUUACCAAGGCAACGAUGCGUAGCCGACCUGAGAGGGUGAUCGGCCACACUGGAACUGAGACACGGUCCAGACUCCUACGGGAGGCGGCAGUAGGGAAUCUUCCGCAAUGGGCGAAAGCCUGACGGAGCAACGCCGCGUGAGUGAUGAAGGUCUUCGGAUCGUAAAACUCUGUUAUUAGGGAAGAACAAAUGUGUAAGUAACUAUGCACGUCUUGACGGUACCUAAUCAGAAAGCCACGGCUAACUACGUGCCAGCAGCCGCGGUAAUACGUAGGUGGCAAGCGUUAUCCGGAAUUAUUGGGCGUAAAGCGCGCGUAGGCGGUUUUUUAAGUCUGAUGUGAAAGCCCACGGCUCAACCGUGGAGGGUCAUUGGAAACUGGAAAACUUGAGUGCAGAAGAGGAAAGUGGAAUUCCAUGUGUAGCGGUGAAAUGCGCAGAGAUAUGGAGGAACACCAGUGGCGAAGGCGACUUUCUGGUCUGUA
rnacentral:rRNA from 1 species